GAUCUUGGGUAACGUGGGCCCGCCGCUUGGUCAUCGUUAUCAACGACAACCAUAUUAUCAUUAGAGUCUUCGCUCGUUUUUUAGUUACUAGUAAUUAUUCUUGAAUUCAAUAUUCAUAAUAAUGUCAAUAUUGGUGUUGUACAACACUCCAAAAGUCCAUUAAUUAACUUUACUGUUGUGGUGCCGUACACCUUUGACAUUUUUUGGAUGGACAAGCAGUUGCUCGUUGACGCGAAGCAAAAAAUCCAAUUUCUUUUGGAACGCAAACAUUUUUAUAUCUUCUUUUGCUAGGACUGCGGCUCCUUGGUCUACGUGUAGUUCACGAGAGAUUUAUUCAUUCAUUCCAUGUGGUUCCAAUAUCUGGUAAAUAUUGUUUAGGACAUCACUUUCAUAUUAUUCACAUAACCUUUCCCAGUUCUAGGAUGUUUGUUAAGUUCUUCAACAUCCGGAUGUGUAUAUACAUGACGUGUUGAUGUGUCGAGUUUGCAAAUCGCGCUGUGAUACUAGCGGUGUUUGUCAUUUAUCCAUCAGGAAAAAUUGUGUAAUGUACAAUUAUCAAUAGACCAUCAAACAGAUUUUUUCCACCGUUCGUUAUCAAGAACAUUGGAGCAAAAAAUGAGUGAGCCUAAUUAACUGAAUGACUGAAUGGAUGAUAUAUUGAUGCUGUAAAACUUCCUACUUUGUAACAACAAGUUGAAAAUUAUUCAAUAUGCAGAAUGUAAUCUAUAAGAUUUAGUGAAUAAUUUACACAGUAACAAUGUGAUUAAUGAAGAUUUGGGAACUGUGGUUGACCAUAAUUUCAGCCGUAUUAUUCUGAAGUUUGUCUUACGUCACUGGUUAUAAUUUGGUUUUGGAGUACGUUUACAACCAUUCAACUGCCAUAUAGAUUCAAAUAAGUAAAUUGGCUCCCUCACCUCAACAAUGACCAACUAUGUAAACAACUAGUAUACAUUAUUCAAUUUUAUAUUAUAUAUCAUUUAUGAUAUGUAUUAAAUGCUGAAAUCCGCAAAAAUAUUUUAAAAAAAUAUCUUAACUGCUGCUUAUAAAAGAGCCUGCUAUCAUUUGAAGGAAAAUGAAUCAGUCAUGUAACAAAAUGCAUGUAAACAUAAAAUGUACAGACCACAAUCAGUGUUGCUUUGUUGUAAUUAAUCAUAAGUGUUUCACACCAUAAUGAUUAAGGAUAAGGAUCUUGCGCUAUCUGAUAAAACUAGACCGAUUU
rnacentral:lncRNA from 1 species